UACGUAGGGUGCAAGCGUUGUCCGGAAUUAUUGGGCGUAAAGAGCGCGUAGGCGGUUUGUCGCGUCGGCUGUGAAAACCCGGAGCUCAACUCCGGGCCUGCAGUCGAUACGGGCAGACUGGAGUUCGGCAGGGGAGACUGGAAUUCCUGGUGUAGCGGUGAAAUGCGCAGAUAUCAGGAGGAACACCUGUGGCGAAAGCGGCGCACUGGACCACAACUGACGCUGAGGCGCGAAAGCUAGGGGAGCAAACAGG
rnacentral:rRNA from 1 species